AAAAAGGGCUUCUGUCGUGAGUGACACACGUGGGGCAGCUCGUUUGUUCUUCGUGCGGAAUCGACAUCAAGAGAUUUCGGAAGCAUAAUUUUUUGACUACCGGGCAGCUGGUGAUCGUUGGUCCUGGCGCCCCU
ensembl:snRNA